rnacentral:rRNA from 1 species
UACGGGGGGGGGUACGCGUUGUUCGGAAUUACUGGGCGUAAAGGGCUCGUAGGCGGCCAACUAAGUCAGACGUGAAAUCCCUCAGCUUAACUGGGGAACUGCGUCUGAUACUGGAUGGCUUGGAUCCAGGAGAGGGAUGCGGAAUUCCAGGUGUAGCGGUGAAAUGCGUAGAUAUCUGGAGGAACACCGGUGGCGAAGGCGGCAUCCUGGACCGGUAUUGACGCUGAGGAGCGAAAGCCAGGGGAGCAAACGGG